ensembl:snoRNA
GCGCUUCUGUGGUUCAUAAGUGUGAUGGCUGGGCUCACACGCAUGUGUGAGAUGUGCCACCCUUGAACCUUCUUAUGACGUCGGCACAUUACCCAUCUGAUG